rnacentral:rRNA from 1 species
AGAUGAACCUGCCGGCAGCUUAACACAACCAAAUCGGCGCAACACAGAGAACUGCUCUUGGGUGCGAUGCGAACGGGUGAGUAACAAAUCGGGACGUACCGACAUGGGGGAUAACUAAUCGAAGAUUAGCUAAUACCGCAUAUUUCUGAGGAAGAAACAGGGGACCAUUUGGCCUUGCCUGUUUGANCGGCCGAUAUCUGAUUAGCUAAUUGUGGUAAAGCCUACCAAGGCGACGAUCAUACGGGUCUGAGAGGAUGAUCCGCCACACUGGGACUGAGACACGGCCCAGACUCCUACGGGAGGCAGCAUGGGGAAUUUUGGACAAUGGGCGCAAGCCUGAUCCAGCCAUGCCGCGUGUCUGAAGAAGGCCUUCGGGUUGUAAAGGACUUUUGUCAGGGAAGAAAAGGGCGGGGUUAAUACCCCUGUCUGAUGACGGUACCUGAAGAAUAAGCACCGGCUAACUACGUGCCAGCAGCCGCGGUAAUACGUAGGGUGCGAGCGUUAAUCGGAAUUACUGGGCGUAAAGCGGGCGCAGACGGUUACUUAAGCAGGAUGUGAAAUCCCCGGGCUCAACCUGGGAACUGCGUUCUGAACUGGGUGACUAGAGUGUGUCAGAGGGAGGUAGAAUUCCACGUGUAGCAGUGAAAUGCGUAGAGAUGUGGAGGAAUACCGAUGGCGAAGGCAGCCUCCUGGGAUAACACUGACGUUCAUGCCCGAAAGCGUGGGUAGCAAACAGGAUUAGAUACCCUGGUAGUCCACGCCCUAAACGAUGUCGAUUAGCUGUUGGGCAGCAUGACUGCUUAGUAGCGAAGCUAACGCGUGAAAUCGACCGCCUGGGGAGUACGUCGCAAGAUA